rnacentral:rRNA from 1 species
UGCUCAGUGUGGGAAUCGGGGUCAGUGGCCUUGAGUUGUAGCCUGCAGAUGCUAUGCCAAUGGGGAUGCUGAUGCAAGCCUCUUGGAAAAGAGCAUGAAAGAGGGUGAGAGUCCUGUCUGGCAUCUGCUUUCCCCAUGUACGGCAAGCCCUCUAAGAGUCACGUUCCUUGGGCCUGGAGCGCAAACUGGGUGGUAAUUUCCAUCUAAAGCUAAAUAUGUGUUCAAGACCGAUAGAAAACAAGUACCAUGAGGGAAAGGUGAAAAGGACUUUGAAAAGAGUGUUAAAAGUGUCUGAACUUGCUGAGAUGAAAGCGAAUGGAACCAAUGCUGUUUUGUGAGAUUGCUGUGCCCAUCGGUAUGUGUUUGCUACUGCAACGCAAGUGCUGUAGUAUAUCUGGUGCCGAUGCACGCAGUGUUUCUCCCUCUGCAUGUCGCUGUCAGUCUGCUUCUGUGAAAAAUGCCUGGUGCAUGGUGGGUUGCCUUUCUGUAACUGAAUGUGCCUGGCUGAACACACCUGCGUACUGAACUUCGUGAGUCUAGCUGCAAUGAUCUGUGGUGCAAGGGUUUGCUGGAAGGGCUCAAUCCUUCUGCUCACGCUGCAUUUGCAGGUCAUAUUCUUGAUUCAACAACAGCGACAAAGUGGACCUAUUCGACCCGUCUUGAAACACGGACCAAGGAGUCUAACAUGUGUGCAAGCUCUUUGGUGAGCAAACCUGCUAGCACAAUGAAAGUGUUUGCUGGGACAUCUGCACCAGCAGUGGACCAAUUAAUUGGGAGAGGUUUGAGUACGAGCAUAUCUGUUAGACCCGAAAGAUGGUGAACUAUGCUUGAGAAGGCAAACUCAGGGAAACUCUGAUGGAGCUCGUAGCGGUACUGACGUGCAAAUCGUCGUCAUACUGGGUAUAG